rnacentral:rRNA from 1 species
CACGUAGGCGGACUCUUAAGUCGGUGGUGAAAUCCUGGAGCUCAACUCCAGAACUGCCUUCGAUACUGGGAGUCUCGAGUUCGGGAGAGGUGAGUGGAACUGCGAGUGUAGAGGUGAAAUUCGUAGAUAUUCGCAAGAACACCAGUGGCGAAGGCGGCUCACUGGCCCGAUACUGACGCUGAGUGCGAAAGCGUGGGAGCAAACA